rfam:Hanseniaspora valbyensis NRRL Y-1626 HANVAscaffold_260, whole genome shotgun sequence.
GCAGAGAUGGCCGAGAGGUUAAGGCGUUGGAUUUAGGUUAAUUUGUCAUGAAUAUCAAAAUUUUCAUGUAUUGAUUUAAAUACUCCAAUUUCGAAAGAAGCAUGGGUUCGAACCCCAUUCCCUGCA